rnacentral:rRNA from 1 species
AGUGAACGCUGGCGGUAGGCCUAACACAUGCAAGUCGAACGGCAGCACAGUAAGAGCUUGCUCUUACGGGUGGCGAGUGGCGGACGGGUGAGGAAUACAUCGGAAUCUACUUUUUCGUGGGGGAUAACGUAGGGAAACUUACGCUAAUACCGCAUACGACCUACGGGUGAAAGCAGGGGAUCUUCGGACCUUGCGCGAUUGAAUGAGACGAUGUCGGAUUAGCUAGUUGGCGGGGUAAAGGCCCACCAAGGCGACGAUCCGUAGCUGGUCUGAGAGGAUGAUCAGCCACACUGGAACUGAGACACGGUCCAGACUCCUACGGGAGGCGGCAGUGGGGAAUAUUGGACAAUGGGCGCAAGCCUGAUCCAGCAAUACCGCGUGGGUGAAGAAGGCCUUCGGGUUGUAAAGCCCUUUUGUUGGGAAAGAAAAGCAGCAGGUUAAUACCCCGCUGUUCUGACGGUACCCAAAGAAUAAGCACCGGCUAACUUCGUG